CAAGAGUUAGACUUGUUGCAUGAAGUUUUAAACAGACAAAGGACAGGGAAAUUUUACCGCAACAGUACAGAACUCCAUGCAGUAAAAGAUGUUCUCCACUCCUCUGACUGAGGCUGAAGUUUGGCAGACCUUGUUUGGUAAACAACUAUAAGAAAAGGGAAGGAACAACUCUCCCGCACUGUAUUCACCCAGAAGUCAGUGCAAAGUUACCUCCACCGGAUUUUGUUGAAAGCAUUUUAGAUUUUUCUUUCACAAAACAGGGAGUCUGUUAAAUAACUUAAAAUUACCUUCUUCAAUACACCAACAAUUAUUUUCUGUGCAAUUAUUAUUACUUAUACGACGCUACCUCUAGGAGAUUGCUGCAGAAAUACCUACUUCAGGCACUAGCUGAGGAGGUGCUCUGCAAAGCUUGCCCUGCUUUUGUUGCAGCCUGCAUGUUCCCUUCCUCAGCCACCGUGUACCACUUGGAGAGGCUGAAACCAGCACAUGGCUUUUGUACAUCUGAAAUAACCCUUCACUUCACAUAGAAAAUAAGAUCAGGCUGGCUUCAGUAGAAGAGCUAGCAUACACGGAGAGUCAAAAUGCCCUUUUAUUCGUGGAUUCUCCUCACAAAGUACCGAGCUGGUCUUCCGAGGAAAUACAUGGUCGUAAGAAGACAUGAAAUAAAGGCUGCAUUGGCUGCUGAGGCUCCUACCAGUCCGUCCUGAGCACUUCUGAGGAGUGGAGACUUAGAAUUCCUGAUUGUUUGACAGAAGCAUUUGAGGAAUGGGAUGAAAACUGUAAACAGCCUGCUUUCAUCUCUGAAAUUAGAAUAAAAUGCUGGCCCAAAGAUGACA
rnacentral:lncRNA from 1 species